GGGGAAUGGGCUGAGGAAGGUGGCCCCCACAUAGCCUCACCAAGGCCUGUACUCUGAGGCCAUAACUUAGUACCCAGGUCCCAAAGUAGGAGAGUGAAGGCCAAUGGCAGUGACAGCAGCAGGAUUGUGAUGUUAUUGUGGAGAUGAGGCUGCACUACCUUCAGAGCUUCUGGCCCUGGAUGUCCUGUGACCAGGCAGGUCCACCACAGCAGAGGCCACACGGAGGGAGGCCCAUGUCUGAAAAGGACAUGGAGGGUCAGAACUAGAGGUGGUGGAGUGAACGCCGCACCAGGCAAUGGAAGAAGCACUGGCCUAGACCAAGCUUGAGCGUGCACCACU
rnacentral:lncRNA from 10 species